CCUACGGGUGGCAGCAGUGGGGAAUUUUGCGCAAUGCUCGUAAGAGUGACGCAGCGACGCCGCGUGGGGGAAUGAAGGUCUUCGGAUUGUAAACCCCUGUCAUGUGGGAGCAAAUUAAAAAGAUCGUACCACAAGAGGCAGAGACGGCUAACUCUGUGCCAGCAGCCGCGGUAAUACAGAGGUCUCAAGCGUUGUUUGGAAUCACUGGGCGUAAAGCGUGCGUAGGCUGUUUCGUAAGUCGUGUGUGAAAGGCGGGGGCUCAACCCGCGGACGGCACAUGAUACUGCGAGACGAGAGUAAUGGAGGGGGAACCGGAAUUCUCGGUGUAGCAGUGAAAUGCGUAGAUAUCGAGAGGAACACUCGUGGCGAAGGCGGGUUACUGGACAGUAACUGACGCUGAGGCACGAAGGCCAGGGGAGCAAAAGGGAUUAGAUACCCGAGUAGUC
rnacentral:rRNA from 1 species